GAUGUUGGUGAUCCUGUACUGUCGAGAAACGCCUCUAGCGAGUGCAUAUAUGGCCCGUACCCAUAACCGACUCAGGUGGGCAGGUAGAGAAUACUAAGGCGAUCGGGUGAACUGUGGUUAAGGAUCUCGGCAAAUUGCCCCCGUAACUUCGGGAGAAGGGGGACCAUUGCUGGUGACCGACGUGGUUGAGCUGGUGGUGGUCGCAGAGAAUAGAAGGCUGUGACU
rnacentral:rRNA from 1 species